AGUGAACGCUGGCGGUAGGCCUAACACAUGCAAGUCGAACGGCAGCACAGUAAGAGCUUGCUCUUACGGGUGGCGAGUGGCGGACGGGUGAGGAAUACAUCGGAAUCUACUUUUUCGUGGGGGAUAACGUAGGGAAACUUACGCUAAUACCGCAUACGACCUACGGGUGAAAGCAGGGGAUCUUCGGACCUUGCGCGAUUGAAUGAGCCGAUGUCGGAUUAGCUAGUUGGCAGGGUAAAGGCCCACCAAGGCGACGAUCCGUAGCUGGUCUGAGAGGAUGAUCAGCCGCACUGGAACUGGGACACGGUCCAGACUCCUACGGGAGGCAGCAGUGGGGAAUAUUGGACAAUGGGCGCAAGCCUGAUCCAGCCAUACCGCGUGGGUGAAGAAGGCCUUCGGGUUGUAAAGCCCUUUUGUUGGGAAAGAAAAGCAGCAGGUUAAUACCCCGCUGUUCUGACGGUACCCAAAGAAUAAGCACCGGCUAACUUCGUG
rnacentral:rRNA from 1 species